UUACGCGCAUACGUCACAGUCCUCUUUUUUCAUCCGUAGUGUUUAGACAGGGCGUUUUUACGUGGGUUUCAGGCAAAUAUUUCACCAACGAGAAAUCCGAGGUCAUAUCCAGAUAUCGCGUUAUCUGUCUCAUAUUAAGGAUUGCAUCAAGCUUAAACCGGUCACGGGAUAUUAUUAAAUUACUGCACGAGCAUAAGACUCCCACGCAUUCGUGGGCGUUUCUCACCAGAGGCAUUACAAAUAUUUUACUCGAUCGACGCCGAGCGAUGAUUCCCCGGAGAGUAGCCGCUAUUCCCGCGGGACCGCGACCUCGAUGCAUUCCAAAUGAAAUACGUUCGUGGAGGGAAUAUUAAAAAAUAAGAUUACGUCUGUUUACAGCUGGGAGAUACCUAGACAGGUUUAAUGAAUGUUAAAUACAAGCGUUUUCAAUCGGAUACGAGUUAUAAACAGAGUUUAAAAGCGAGCUUAAAUACACUCGAAGAGAAACUUUCUACAGACUCUCAUCAUCUCGCUGACGACCGAGAGAUGAAAAAUAAAUAGAAACUUAUCAACUAACGUCUUAUAUCUAAAAGCAAUUUCAGUUUCAUUAAAUUUCCGAGGGCACGUUCUAUCGACUGUAUCUCUCGUUUGACCUCUUACUCGAUUCUUAUUUUGAUUGGGAAUCCGCAGGAAAAAAAAACGACUUAUUACUCUGGAAACGCAUAUUGAGAUGACAUAAAAUGGCACAAGAGGUAAUCAAGAGGAUUGAUGGAAGAAAAAUAAUUUAAGGGGGGGUCUAAAUUUUAUCCUAGUUACCGCAACUUUGCGCAGUAUCCUUUUUUUUUUUUUAUAAAAAAUAGAUUUAUGCAAUAGAUAAUUAUGAGAAACAGGGAGCUUGGUUGAGACGAGGGAUAUUGGAUAUAAUAUUUUUAGUAUCAAAGCACGGUGAAAGAGAUGGAAGAAUUGUAAAGUGGGUCUAAAUGUUUUUAAUUGAGCGCAACUUUGCAAUCUCAUUAUUCUUUUUAGAAAUAACAGAUGCAACAGAUAAUUGUGAGAAACAAGAGAGUUCGGAUGAGACAGGGGAUGUUGAAUAUAAUAUCUUUAGUAUCGAAGCACAGCGAAAGAUGGAAUUAUAAAAUGGGUCUAAUUUUGUUUCUUUAUAGCUGGCGCAACUUUGCAAUAUCAUUUACUUUUUAUUAGAGAAAAAAUAAAUUUAUGCAACAGACAAAAUCACGAGAGAAAGAAGGGGAUUUGGGUGAGACGACGAAUAUUAGAUAUGAUAGUUUCAAUAUCAUAAAUGUAUUGGGUAAGAGGUGGAAAAUCAAGUGUUAAUUGGUGUAACUUUGCGAUAUCACUAUUUUUGUUUCGAAAAAUUAGAUUUCUUUCGCGAUAAAUAGUUACGAGAAACGGGAGCGCAGGUGAGAUAGGGGAUGCAACGACCGCAUGAAACCCGCUUCGCGGUAUCCCGGCUCUGAAUAGCUGCGAACUGAGUAAAAACGCGCGUUUCUAAAUGUCAUCGGCUAUAUGUGACUUGGUACGCGUUAAGUAUGCGCGUUAUUGACCGAGCGAAUGUACACGUACACGUAACUAACCAGAGCUACACGCUCGCAUAUGGCCGAGUUUCAACGAGACAUCUCGUCGGAAUUGUCUGGACCUGUUAAUUUUAAUGAAUGUUUAUCAGAAGAAACAUGAUAACGUAAAUGGCAGUACCUCUUGAAAGCUCUUCCUCUCCAUUCCGUGCCCUUAUAAAUGUCCCGCGUGAGCUCAUAUAUAAACGUUUACUUUAGCUUACUUCCUGUAAGCUAAAGUUUACACGUGUAUCUACGUAUAUCUCGUACGUUACAUGUGUAAAAGAAAAAGUUUUCAAUUAUUUCAUUUUUAAUUCUUAUCUCUCGAACCGACGAUCAUAUUCUUCAGCUAAUUUCAAGGAUUUUGCUUACAAAUUCGUCACUUGUGAUUCGAUUAUAUAAUAAUUUGAAUAAAUAAAUAUGUAUAUAAAGUUGUAAGAAGUUGGCAAUGAAUAAUUUCUCUAAAUUCUCGUAAAGUCAACCUCGUCGAGUAGUCGAGGAAUUAAUUAGAUGACGGUGGAAGUGGAACAGUUUAUGUGUACUUCGACAUAUGCGAGAUAAGGAUUAUAUAUGCAAAUUUGUUCGUAAGUUUCAUGUAAAGCUAAUAUAAUAUGUUUAAUAUAUGCCUACAGUAAGCUUCUCUAGUUAAAAUUUCAUAAUCACAUGAGCUGUAAAUUAGUUUCUCGAGCUGUUAUAGUUUCAACGGUUGCAGUAGUUCAAAUUAAGUUUGGACAGACAGUGCACGAG